rnacentral:rRNA from 1 species
GAUGAACGCUAGCGGCGGGCCUAAUACAUGCAAGUUGAACGAGAUUGUUGGUAGCAAUACCGACAUGAAAGUGGCGCACGGGUGCGUAACAAGUAUGUAAACUACCUUUAACUGGGGCAUAGCUUCGAGAAAUCGAAAUUAAUACCCCAUAACAUUUAGAAAAGGCAUCUUUUCUUUAUCAAAGUUCCGGCGGUUAAAGAUGGACAUGCGGUGCAUUAGCUUGUUGGUGAGGUAACGGCUCACCAAGGCUACGAUGCAUAGGGGGUCUGAGAGGAUGAUCCCCCACACUGGUACUGAGACACGGACCAGACUCCUACGGGAGGCAGCAGUAGGGAAUAUUGGGCAAUGGACGAAAGUCUGACCCAGCCACGCCGCGUGAAGGAUGACUGCCCUAUGGGUUGUAAACUUCUUUUGUAUGGGAAGAAAAUUCCGAACGUGUUCGGAGCUGACGGUACCAUAAGAAUAAGCAUCGGCUAACUCCGUGCCAGCCGCCGCCGUAAAAC